rnacentral:lncRNA from 1 species
UUGGGUGGAUGCCAUAAUUUUGAUGGAGGAAAAAACUAUAAAAAAUAGGGUUUCAGACAAUACGGUUGCAGAAAAUAACGAGCGUACGAUGGAGAUGUGUAAGAAUAUAUAUGCCAUAUUUUUUUUUAAUUAAAGUUGACUAUUUUUAAGCCAAUUGCACACACUCUUAAUAGCAAACGCUUGCGGGAAAAAGCUUUUGGAAUCCAGCGAUUUUGAGCAAUCUAGAGCGGUGUGGAGCAUUUUGCACAAAUGGUACCAAUUGCUAACAACCACAAUCGCCUGCUACCAACCGUUAGGCGGGUGAUAGUGGGAGAACCAAUCCACACCUAAGGGCCUGACUGGUUUAAGGUGUUGAUUGGUUAUCCCUCUUUCAGCCGCCUAGCGGUUCUUAACGGGAGGUUUCGGUUGGUAGCGGUUGGUACCAAUCUUAGAAAACUCUUCAUACGGGUUCAAAUCGCUCGAAAUCGCUAGAUUUCAA